AUGAACGCUGGCGGCGUGCCUAAUACAUGCAAGUCGAGCGAACAGACGAGGAGCUUACUCCUCUGACGUUAGCGGCGGACGGGUGAGUAACACGUGGAUAACCUACCUAUAAGACUGGGAUAACUUCGGGAAACCGGAGCUAAUACCGGAUAACAUGUUGAACCGCAUGGUUCAACAGUGAAAGACGGUCUUGCUGUCACUUAUAGAUGGAUCCGCGUCGCAUUAGCUAGUUGGUAAGGUAACGGCUUACCAAGGCAACGAUGCGUAGCCGACCUGAGAGGGUGAUCGGCCACACUGGAACUGAGACACGGUCCAGACUCCUACGGGAGGCAGCAGUAGGGAAUCUUCCGCAAAGGGCGAAAGCCUGACGGAGCAACGCCGCGUGAGUGAAGAAGGUCUUCGGAUCGUAAAACUCUGUUAUUAGGGAAGAACAAAUGUGUAAGUAACUAUGCACGUCUUGACGGUACCUAAUCAGAAAGCCACGGCUAACUACGUG
rnacentral:rRNA from 1 species